GAAUGAUGAUGAUUAUUAUUGUUGUUGUUAUUUUGACGAAGGUAAAUACAAACGGGGAUGCUGUUGGAAGUCCAGCACAGCCUGCUCUGUACUGGGACGGUAAAUCUGUGUGAAGCUGGUUUGCUGCUGUAGAAGCUGCAGGCUCUCUGUGGACAGAAACUGUCAGUCAAGAUCCCAGUGUGGUUCUGCAGGAAGAGAUGGUCCUGGCCACGGUCCUGACCUACUGGGUCAUUCAAGAUCCCAUGGCACAGUUUGUAAGAGCAGGGUUGUUCAGGGUGUUAGUCCCUGUGUCCUGCCCCUUCAGUCUCCCAUAUUGACCCCUAGAUCCAAGCAGUGAAUCUACAGGCAAGGGCCUGAGCAAUUUAGGAUGAAACGCACUGUGCAAAUUAAUUAUUAUGAUUAUCACAGAUAUGAUCUGAACUAAAUUUUUAUCAUCGUCGCUUUCAAUCGUCCAGAGCUGGACCGUUUAGAGCCUUAGACAGAGAGCCAGUGUGGUUCACAGAGGACGGGGGUUUAGUGAUGCCGACUUGUUUACUUUGGCUCACAAGCCUGUACAGCCUGCUGGGAUUGGCUCCGGCAACCCUUCAGCCCGGAAUUGGAUGGAUCGGUUUGAGAAGGGAUGGAUGGAGAAGCUGCACAUUGUACGUACUCCUGCCACUGCCGAGCAGAUCUGAGUCCUUCCAUCACGGUGGCGAUGUAGACUGCAACAGAACAAGUUAUCCUUUCUUCCCACAAAUAUUAACCUGCUUAACGUGGGCAGGAAACAGCUGGAUAUGACCCUUGGAUCAUUUAUCUACUACCAAACUAGAUGGAUGAGCAGCAAGACCUUUCUCAUGUCAUCUUUUUCUAUUUUAAAAGAUACACCACUAAGUGUUUAAUCCACUUGCUGUAUUUACUGUGCAGAAUGUUUUCCCUUGUUGAACAAUAUUAUAUUCCGUUUGUCUACACCUUAUUUCGGUUAAGGAACAAGUAAUAGGUUUAUUCCAUGCUGAAAGAAAGAAAGAAAACACAACGUUUCAGCCGUGGAGCCUUCUUCGGGUGUGUCAAUUUAACUUAUUUCAGUUAGUUUUCUACAAUCAAGCGUUUUUGCAAGUUGUCUAGAAUAAACGUUUGAUUUGGUUAA